rnacentral:rRNA from 1 species
AUUGAACGCUGGCGGCAUGCUUUACACAUGCAAGUCGAACGGUAACAGGCCUUCGGGUGCUGACGAGUGGCGAACGGGUGAGUAAUGCAUCGGAACGUACCCAGAGGUGGGGGAUAACGCAGCGAAAGCUGUGCUAAUACCGCAUGUGAUCUGAGGAUGAAAGCGGGGGACCGAGCAGCAAUGUUUGGCCUCGCGCCUUUGGAGCGGCCGAUGUCGGAUUAGCUAGUUGGUGGGGUAAAGGCCUACCAAGGCGACGAUCCGUAGCUGGUCUGAGAGGACGACCAGCCACACAGGGACUGAGACACGGCCCAGACUCCUACGGGAGGCAGCAGUGGGGAAUUUUGGACAAUGGGCGCAAGCCUGAUCCAGCAAUGCCGCGUGCGGGAAGAAGGCCUUCGGGUUGUAAACCGCUUUUGGCAGGAACGAAACGGUGUCCGCUAAUACCGGGCGCUAAUGACGGUACCUGCAGAAUAAGCACCGGCUAACUACGUG